AGGUAUUUACAAUUUAACAUCGAAUGAAAUAAAGCAGGUCAAAACAAUGUUUACAAUAUGACCUUGUGUUUUAAUACAUAUAUAUUUUGAGACUUAAGAUAAAUUCCAAAUUGUUCGUAGUAGAAUAACAGGUGAUUAUUAUUUUCUUCUAUGUUGCUUAUCUCUGUUGUCUUAAUGUUUGAUGGAAAAAAUAAGUGUAUUGCUUUCAAAAUAAGAGGGAAAAAAAGUAGUCUGGAAAAUUGUUUUCAUUGCACAUCUGUGGGAGUUGAAAAUUGAGCCUAGAGCUUAUAAGACAUUCUUGUAUUCAUGCAUCUCAACAAAUAAUACUUAUGGCCUCUAAGGUAAGCUAGCCCUGUGGCACUGCAGAAAAACCAAAGACCCACUACCUGCCCUCUGACAACUUAUAGUUCUGCCACCCAAACAAGAGAAAACUUCAAUCGCUGCCUUUGAGGUGAGAAUUGAGGGCUCAUCUCUGCCAAGGACCUCUGAGGCUUCCACAGCUCCUUGGACUGAGGUUGGAGCCAGCACUGCCUCCUGUGCCCUGAGGGUCCCAGGGGAUCAGGGUGUGGCUGAAGUAGUCUGGGCCUGCAGCUACUUCCUCAGGUCCACUCUCCCACCCGGACUGCCUGUCCCAUUGCCCUUGGACACCCACCUCGUCACACUCUUCUGUUUCUCCCCUUCCCAUCCUCUCUGUCCGGUUUCUUCCAGGCCACCUCCAAAGAGACCUGCUGCUCCACCCCCAAUCUGUUGCUUGUGCCUUACUAGAGGUUUCUGCCCUUUUCAGCGCCACAUCCCAGGAAAGGAAGAAACAUGCUCCAGGGCUGGAAGUUCGUCUUUGAGGGGAGGAAGUUCCCUGGAGUCUGCAGCAGAUGGGGGAGGCCCCAGUGGGGCGCACGUGGAUGCAUUUCUGGGAGGAAACCAAGUACCAUCCGCUCUCGCUCGCUCCCAUCCAGUGUUUUCUUCCCCCACUGCCAGAUGCCCACUGCCCACCACUGAUCUACUGAGCCAGGGUGUCCUGAGUGAAUAGCACCCUUAAUGGCAGGCACAGCCAUCAAGGGGGCCUGCAGUCAUAAGAUCAUAAAAAUCACAGCAGCAGCAACAACAGCAGCCAUCUUUCAUGGAGCAUCUCCAAGUGUGUGCCACACCCUUUGCAAACACUGCCAAACAACUUGCAGAUGAGAGGAUUCAAGCUAAAUGACAGAGACUGGGUCAGGAAGCUGAGGUCUGAACAUCUCUGGCAGCCCUCUUUCCUCUAAGCCCCUGCAUCCCCUGUCCAUUCUCUGUCCUAGGAGCUGACAUGAGUGUGUCUGGGUUCCUGAUCCAAGGAGUCACUUUAUACACAGUAGACAAAACCCAAAUUGCAAGUGUGAGAUGCAUACAGAAACCAAGGUGAGCCCUAGAGAAAAGCAACCGAGAUCCAAUCAGAGGGGUAAGGGGAGAAGGAGCAGAGCAAUGGGCCUGAAAAGAGGAGCAGUAAGAGCAGGCAUCCCCAGGUCCAAGACUCAGGGUAGGGUCCUUGGGGAAGGUUAGGGCUCCACGAUGCACACCUGUUCAGACAUGUCAUGGAUUUCAAGGCAACUGGGACACCAAAGUGCCAGAAAUGGAGCAAUCACUUGCAGAGCAUGUGAGCACACACACCUUAGGCAGAAGGUGGGGCUUUGCAAUGUUAUAUAUUACACAUGGACCAAGUCCAAUUUUCAAUGCACCAGGGAAAUGCACUUGUUAAAAGGUCUCUAAGAAGAAUAAAGAAAUUUAAGAUGACUAAAUAGGGCGCCAAUUUAAGACGACUAAAUAAGGAGCCACCCCACCUGUCCUGGCCUGCAAGCUCGUGUUCUCCCAAAGCAGGUCUUCCUGAAGUGGGACAGCUGGGCUGACCCUAGCUGAUAUUUUAUCAGCCCACUUCAGUUUCUGAUGAGCAGCGAACCACUGAUUAUUGCCACUGAUGGCUGCUGUGUCCUAUUUGUAGUGGUCUCGGGGGAGGAAGAUCCACAAGCGUCUUCACAAAUUCAUUUCAGCUCCUCUCCUUCUUCCAGGCUGAGGCUUCCCCUCUGCUGCCAAUCUCCCACCACCCCCCUUAAGAUGAACAGGCUGGGUCACUAUCCCCUAUAGUUCCUUUGUAGGCUAGCAAGCCAUAUGAAUUUCAUAAUUCUGCUUUUUCUUCUAACACAGGGCACCCAGGUCUACCUUAUUUUUCCUGAAAAGAGAGAACUACAGGACACAGAGCAAGGCAUUGGGGCAUAGGAAUGGCACAAGUCAGACUCCUGGGAGGGGGUUCCAGCUUUGCCACUUAUCAGUGGGAUCAGCUUGGCCUUGUGACCUGGCUGCUCUGAGCCACAGGUUUCUAAUCUGUAUAAGGUAGACAGGAGUAGCAGUUACAAUGAAGGGUUCUCAGGAUUACAGAAAAUCGUGUGCAGGGCACCUGGCAUGAGGGAGCUAUGACUACUACUGUGUCAGCCCCACAGACACAAAAUAAUCUCUUCCAUAUGGUUAGGUUUAAAUCAGGUUAACAAAUAUCCAUUGUGACCUGCGACACUAAGCCAAAGUACUGUCUGGGAAAUGAGAAUGGAAUAUUAGACAUGCUUUCUGUCUGAAAAAGCUUGUAAGUGAUUUGACAGAGACACCCAAACCCCUCUCAUCACCCCCAGCAUAAACACACACUUCCAUGCCCCUGCAGCAAGAUGGUCAGGCUAGGUUGUUGAAUGGAGGCAAAUUCUCUAGUGGAGUUUUCUUCCCUUUGGUCCUCUGAGCUCUCCAUGAGGUCUGUGGAUUGUGGCCCCCAUAGAUUUAUCUGAAAGAUCAAGCAGAGGUUCCUUACCAGAGAAUAAGAAGUGGAGUGAAGAGCGGGGAGGAGGCCACACUGACAGUAGGAACAAGCCCUACUAUCAACUAGUCACGUUCUCUGCCUUAGUCUCUGUGCUGUAUGUGCAUUCCAAUCAUUUAACUUAAUCCUGAAACAGCACUGCAAAUACUACAGUGGAUGCUGUCCUGCUUCACCCUGAUCCCCCAUCAAGAUUAAAGGACUCAUUUCCCAGCUCUUGGACCUCUCCGAACUACCCUUUAUAAAGAGAGCCAACUCACCCAAGGUCAAGCCCCACAUCCAAUGAGUCGUCAAUAAGGGGCUUUAAAGGCCUGGUCCCCCUCACCCCAAGUCAGUACCACUCUGCAGAGCCAUCCAGCUUCAGGGCUCUGCAUCACCUACGUUGCUGCUCAGUUUCUUCCUCUGUCCAACUCUACUUCCUUCUCUUCCCCAGCAGAUUCUGCUCCCAGAAACACUCCACAAUAAACUUCCUGCACACUUAUUUCCCUAUGAAGAAACAGAGGCUCAGAGAAAUUAAGUAGCUUUCCCUAGGUCAUGCAGCUUUUAAGUGAUAGAGCUGGGCUCAGACCCAUGGUUGUAUGACAAUAAGACUGUUAUUUUCAGUGCACAAGAUGAAAUCCCUCGUUAGGAAUUCAGUGGCUCAAACUCUAAAAUUCCCUGGAAGAAGUAGGAUGCAUACUUCAGACCAGUAAACAUCCAAAUGAGAUAAGUUCUUAUAGUUUAAAACAGAUUAUAACACU
rnacentral:lncRNA from 10 species